rnacentral:rRNA from 1 species
GAUGAACGCUAGCGACAGGCCUAACACAUGCAAGUCGAGGGGCAUCGGGGAGCGAAGCUUGCUUUGCUCCGCCGGCGACCGGCGCACGGGUGAGUAACGCGUAUGCAACCUGCCCGUUUCAGCGGGAUAACCCGGAGAAAUCCGGCCUAAUACCGCAUGUGGCCGAGGGAAGGCAUCUUCUUUCGGCCAAAGGAGGCGACUCCGGAGACGGAUGGGCAUGCGUGACAUUAGCUUGUUGGCGGGGUAACGGCCCACCAAGGCGACGAUGUCUAGGGGUUCUGAGAGGAAGGUCCCCCACACUGGUACUGAGACACGGACCAGACUCCUACGGGAGGCAGCAGUGAGGAAUAUUGGUCAAUGGGCGAGAGCCUGAACCAGCCAAGUCGCGUGAAGGAUGACGGCCCUACGGGUUGUAAACUUCUUUUGUCAGGGAGCAAUUGGGUCCACGCGUGGGCUUAGCGAGAGUACCUGAAGAAAAAGCAUCGGCUAACUCCGUGCCAGCAGCCGCGGUAAUACGGAGGAUGCGAGCGUUAUCCGGAUUUAUUGGGUUUAAAGGGUGCGUAGGCGGAAUAUCAAGUCAGCGGUAAAAAUUCGGGGCUCAACCCCGUCGUGCCGUUGAAACUGAUGUUCUUGAGUGGGCGAGAAGUAUGCGGAAUGCGUGGUGUAGCGGUGAAAUGCAUAGAUAUCACGCAGAACUCCGAUUGCGAAGGCAGCAUACCGGCGCCCAACUGACGCUGAAGCACGAAAGCGUGGGUAUCGAACAGGAUUAGAUACCCUGGUAGUCCACGCAGUAAACGAUGAAUGCUAAUUGUCCGGAGGGAUUGACCUCUGGGUGAUACAGCGAAAGCGUUAAGCAUUCCACCUGGGGAGUACGCCGGCAACGGUGAAACUCAAAGGAAUUGACGGGGGCCCGCACAAGCGGAGGAACAUGUGGUUUAAUUCGAUGAUACGCGAGGAACCUUACCCGGGCUCAAACGCAGGAGGAAUACAUUUGAAAGGGUGUAGCUCUACGGAGUCUUCUGCGAGGUGCUGCAUGGUUGUCGUCAGCUCGUGCCGUGAGGUGUCGGCUUAAGUGCCAUAACGAGCGCAACCCCUAUCGACAGUUGCCAACAGGUGAAGCUGGGAACUCUGUCGAGACUGCCGGCGCAAGCUGAGAGGAAGGCGGGGAUGACGUCAAAUCAGCACGGCCCUUACGUCCGGGGCGACACACGUGUUACAAUGGCAGGUACAGCGGGAAGCCACUUGGCGACAAGGAGCGGAACCCGAAAACCUGUCUCAGUUCGGAUUGGAGUCUGCAACCCGACUCCGUGAAGCUGGAUUCGCUAGUAAUCGCGCAUCAGCCAUGGCGCGGUGAAUACGUUCCCGGGCCUUGUACACACCGCCCGUCAAGCCAUGGAAGCCGGGGGUGCCUGAAGUGUGCAGCCGCAAGGAGCGCCCUAAGGUAAAACCGGUGACUGGGGCU